GCUUCAAUGGCUCAGAUGGCAGAGCGUCCGCCUAGUAAGCGGAAGGUCCAGAGUUCAAUUCUCUGUUGAAGCA